AAUCUACCUUAGUUACAGGGAUAGCCCGAGGAAACUCGGAUUAAUACCUGAUAUUCUUUAUAUUUCGCAUGAAAUUAAAAGGAAAGGUCAGCCGAACUAAGAUGAGCUCGCGUUCUAUCAGCUAGUUGGUGAGGUAAAAGCUCACCAAGGCUACGACGGAUAGCUGGUCUGAGAGGACGAUCAGCCACACUGGGACUGAGACACGGCCCAGACUCCUACGGGAGGCUGCAGCAGGGAAUAUUGCGCAAUGAGCGAAAGCUUGACGCAGCGACACCGCGUGUGGGAUGACGGAUCUAGGUUUGUAAACCACUUUCAGGAGGGAAGAAAAUGACGGUACCUCCACAAGAAGCCCCGGCCAACUACGUGCCAGCAGGCGCGGUAAUACGUAGGGGGCGAGCGU
rnacentral:rRNA from 1 species